AUAUGCAAUUCCAAAUUUCCAACGCAGUUGACACUUUUGCUCUUUUUAAGCCUUUGUUAGUCUUUUUCUUUGUAAAAAUUUUGAGCUUAUUUUCCUUGGUUAUAGAAUUUCUUUUGGUUAAAUUGCUAUUAGUUAUUGAAUCAUUAUUUCAAAGCCAAGGUUACAGUAGGGGCCUGUUGACACUUAAAGGCCUGUUGACACUUAAAGGGUGAAUGCUAAGAUAUGGUAGGGUCUUGUGGGGAAGGAGAUGUUGAUGUUGUCUAAUUAUCUUAGAAUUCAUUUAGUUUAUUCAACAAAUUAUGCUCUUUUUCAUUUGUUUUUUGGUGAUUUGUUUCUCUGGCUUAUUUAAUUAUAUAUGUUAUGAGAUUUAUUGUUUGUGUUAUUUCUAAAUCUAGAUGAAUGAAUGAUAGUUAAUGGAGAUCACAUCAAAAUUUGAAUUUGACAGAGGAGGUUAUUUUUGGUCUGAUUAAGUGUUAUAUGAAGCAGUUGUUGUCGAUUCUCGGACAUUGUCAUUCUAGGGGUGUGAUGUAACAAAUAAGUUCCUCCUCUUCUGUUUUUCUUUUUCUUCAGAUCUCUUUAUCACUGGAUGGCUUUUCUGUCAUUUGGUAAUGUUGUACCAAGAUCAUGGUAGUCACUGAUGUGGUGGUGGUGGAUACAGAGGAGGAAGCGGUGAAAGAGAGUAGAUCGAUAGAAAGAACUGAGCGGUUGCCACAGAAAACACAUGCAGCGAGACUAGGUAAGAGGAGAGCAUAGCAGCUGCAGCGACAAGAACAGAGCGGUUAGAUCUAUUUAUUUCCUGUCACGGUGAAAGGGACAACAGCAAUGGUGGUAGGGUUACGGCAGUCGAAGAGGUUGCGGCGGCAACUAUGGUAGUCGAGGAGUCCAAGGCAACGGUGGGCUCAGUGGUCACAGUGGAGUUCAUGGUAAUAGUUGACAUGGUGAUGGUGGAUAAGGUGGAGGAUGUAAUGACGUGCAUGUACAGCCAUGGUGGGCUGAAUCAAGGAUUGCAACCAGGGAGGAGACAGAUGCCAAGGUAGGUACGACAGCGUUUGUGGCGGCGGAAGCUGCUACAACUAUGGAAAUUUUCUGGGCAUUUUGCAACAAACUGUCCAACAAGUCCAACAAGCCCUCUGAAAAAAUAAAGGCAGCAGCACCAAAUCACUCUCAAGAGGCACGCUCCCACCUCGGGUGAUUUCUUCUUUUUCCUUUUUUCUUUUUCCAAUGACAGAUUGAUGAUGGUUUACGAUGAAGAGUUGUGUAUGUUCCUUACUAUUUGAUCUGAUGUAUAUAUUUGUAAUGUUGUUGUUAUUGGCAUCUUUAUCUGGUGUGGAGCCGUUGAUGCAGAAAACCCAGAACCACACUAUUAUUGCCAGGAUUCUAAUUCCAGAACCACACUAUUAUUGCCAGGAUUCUAAUUGCUCUUCGGCAAAAAAUUUUAAUCUAA